GCCGGUCCUCGGUAGUGGCUCCCGGAAGCACCGCGCGAGCGGGGCACCGAGGGCUUCGAUCGAAGACCGGC
rfam:Streptomyces sp. NRRL F-6602 F6602contig352.1, whole genome shotgun sequence.